AAGAACACGUUGAAGAGGACAAGUAAAGUGGCUAGACCAUGGAGAGAGAGAAAAUCACCGGCUGCAAGUUUUCUUAUGGAAAGGCGCUUGAAAUUCACCUCGGAGUGCGACUAAUCAUCGCCGCUGGCCGCGUUAAAAGCAAUCGAGAGCAUGGCUAAGGGUCAUGAAUUAGGAUGGUACCGCGUUCAAACGUUCCUAUU
rnacentral:ncRNA from 1 species